GCUGCUCUGCUGUUCCUCUGUCUCCCAGACUCUGGGUGGAUGGAGCAGGUUGGGGGCCA
ensembl:miRNA